GACGAACGCUGGCGGCGUGCUUAACACAUGCAAGUCGAACGGAAAGGCCCUGCUUUUGUGGGGUGCUCGAGUGGCGAACGGGUGAGUAACACGUGAGUAACCUGCCCUUGAUUUUGGGAUAACUUCAGGAAACUGGGGCUAAUACCGGAUAGGAGCUCCUGCUGCAUGGUGGGGGUUGGAAAGUUUCGGCGGUUGGGGAUGGACUCGCGGCUUAUCAGCUUGUUGGUGGGGUAGUGGCUUACCAAGGCUUUGACGGGUAGCCGGCCUGAGAGGGUGACCGGCCACAUUGGGACUGAGAUACGGCCCAGACUCCUACGGGAGGCAGCAGUGGGGAAUAUUGCACAAUGGGCGGAAGCCUGAUGCAGCAACGCCGCGUGCGGGAUGACGGCCUUCGGGUUGUAAAACGCUUUCGCCUGUGACGAAGCGUGAGUGACGGUAAUGGGUAAAGAAGCACCGGCUAACUACGUG
rnacentral:rRNA from 1 species